UAAACAACCUGCCUUCAGGAUGGGGACAACAGACGGAAGCGACUGCUAAUACCGAAUAAGUUCCAAGGGCCGCAUGGCCCAUGGAAGAAAAGGUGGCCUCUACCUGUAAGCUAUCGCCUGAAGAGGGGUUUGCGUCUGAUUAGCUGGUUGGAGGGGUAACGGCCCACCAAGGCGACGAUCAGUAGCCGGUCUGAGAGGAUGAACGGCCACACUGGAACUGAGACACGGUCCAG
rnacentral:rRNA from 1 species